rnacentral:lncRNA from 1 species
AACCUGAGAAUCUCCAAAUGUAGAUGAACCUAAAAAAUAUAAAGAAUUAAAGUCUUCCAGAAUCAAAUAUAUCAGAAAAUUCUCUUCAAUUAAAGACAGAAACGCAUUUUUUUCCGUCUUUCUUUUGAACUGUUUUCUUUCAAUUUAUGGGUCGAAAUUGGUUAAUAAUAAAUAAAAAUCCAACAGCUCCGAGAAAUUGGGGGAGCUGUUUUGUUGUGAAUCGAGAAGAUUUAUGCUUCUUGAUGAUGUAAACAGAAAUGGUAGGCCAAAUUUUUGUGUUAUUUCCUUGUUAAUUUU